UCGGUGGUGGGGGAGUAGCCGGCUACGCCCGGGUAAUACCGCAUACGUUCCUCUGGGGGAGUCCCUGGGGGAGGAAAGCUCCGGCGCACGGGGAGGGGUUCGCGGCCUAUCAGCUAGUUGGCGGGGUAAUGGCCCACCAAGGCGACGACGGGUAGCUGGUCUGAGAGGAUGGCCAGCCACAUUGGGACUGAGAGACGGCCCAG
rnacentral:rRNA from 1 species